rnacentral:misc_RNA from 1 species
GGAAUGUAGAUAAAAGAAAACAGGAUCAGAAAAACAUAUGUAUUGUAUAUUACAGUAUAUUUUCAAAAAUACUUUGUGUUAAAAAAAAACCGAAAUAAGUUAAAUUUUCUCAAAAAAGAUGAACUCACAAUUGGAGAUUUGCAUGUUGGGAGGCCAUAUUUAUUAAUGAUUGUAAUUGCUCAUUGAUAAAUGUAUGAUGUGCAUUGUAUUCUCAGAUAUGUUGUCAUUUUGUACAUUUCGACAAUAUCACAUUUUUUUUCUCUCUCUCUGCACAAAAAAAAAAUUCAAUCCUCAACACUACUGAAAGAUGGAUAUUUUUCACAGUUUGACUAAACACCAUGUUUUUUACUACAUCUGUGAAAUGUUUCCUUUUUUUACCCUUUAUUGUUAAGUUUGUAUUUGUUCCAAGCAUCUGUUACACAUUUCCAUUUUUUGUUUUUAAUCAGAUUUUUAUUUGUCAUUAGGAAUAACAGAGGUUAGCAGGUUUUAGAUUCUGUAUAAUGGAAACAAGAUUCUUGUUCUGAAGGGGCUUAUUUCAGAUUGAUGACAAAAGUUUUCACAACUUCCAAAAUGCUUCUGUAUAAUAAAGUCUUAACCACAGAGCUUUUUGUCUGCAGUUCUGUCUUGCAAUUUUUGUUAGCACUUUCUAUUCAUAGCUGAUGAACAGAACAAUUUAUGUUAGUGAAAAUGGUUGUGUUUUCGUUUUAAAGUAUUACUUUCUAAAGUAAAAGGGUGACAACUCCAAAUAUUAACUGUCUUUUAAAGUCAUCAUUUGUAUUUAUUGCACUUUAUUUAUAUAUAUCCCUUAACUUAUAACAAUGACAAAAAAAACCUUCAUUUUCAAAUUUGUAGAAUUUCAAAUAUUCAAACUUAUCAAUGAUAUCAGUUAUUUUGCAGUUAAACCGGAGUCUGUAGAUACAAUUGUUUAGAAUGUUCUGUAUUACGAACUAAGUAGAUUUUAGUAAUGAGCACUUGUAGCUAUUUGUAACAUUGCUUAUAGAUAUGCAUUAAACUGUAAAAAAC